rnacentral:sRNA from 1 species
AAGUGUACGCCUUUGUGUCUAUGCUUCGAGUGAUCAAUUGGUCGAGUAGAUGAUUCAUCCUCUCCUAUCUGUAUGCUCAGAUGUCUGGUUGAGUGGGGAAUGAGGAGGAUACGAAGACGCUUUGAUAGCUCAACAAGUCUUGUAGAGUUGGUUACCCUUGGUCGAGUAAAUGGGUCGAGUAGAGGAUCGAGUAGGAGGGACGAGUAGAUCAAUCUUCUGCUUCAUCUGAGGUUGCCUUGAUCGAGUAAGAGGGUCGAGUAAACUACAGCCUCCUCUGUAGCAUCCUGGAUCGAGUAAAGAGGUCGAGUGAAUUGAUGCCUCUUCUGUAGCUGCCAGGAUCGAGUGAAUGGAUCGAGUAGAGUCCUUUUAAGCUCCUUCUGCACCUGAAAACACA